GUGAAAUAUAGGAGGGAACUACUCUUGGAGGUGAACUACUGCGCUAGUUCCAUGACAAAUGAAGGAAGACCAGCGUUUUCAUAGAGGAUGAGUUUGCCAUCUGAAAAAGCACGUACUUUUUUAAGGGAAUUUCUACUACCCAAUAUCAAAGACAAAAUGAAAGUUUCUCUUUUGCACUCUGGGGACACAGUGGUCCAGCUCACAGUCUUUCUCCUUGAUACAGUGAGCUGUGAUAUUGAGAAGACCACACUAAGAAUAGCAUGCCAAAGUGUCUUGAAAGACAGCAGUGAUGUUGGACACUUCACUCUUAGGAAAAACAAUCAAAGGUAGGAACUGAAAAAGUG
rnacentral:lncRNA from 1 species